rnacentral:lncRNA from 13 species
CCUCAUUCUCUCAGAGUGUUGAAUACAGUAGCAGAUUACCGUGAAAUAAAUAAAAAUAAAAACAGCACAUUACUGUAAAAUAAAUGAAAAUCUGGCAUCUAUAGCUGUGGCUGGAAGUUAACCUUUAUCUGGUGGAUCCUGCUUAAAGGGAUUUCUUUCUGACUGCUCACUGCCCUGGGCUGAGUCUCCAGUCGUGUGUGUGUGUGUGUGUGUGUGUGUGUGUGUGUGUGUGUGGUUUUUAAUGACAUUAAGAAUAAUAAAUUGGUGUGGGGGAUGAAUCACUAUUUUAAUAAUUGUUUUGUUUUCUUAAAAAUCACUGUAUAAAUGUCUGGAAUUCUGAAUUUCAGAUGAAAGAUCUCCGUUUCUUCUGAGGAUAAGCAUCUGCCUAUACCUUAGCCAGGGAUACGUCUGCACUGGCUCAGCCCCUGGAGGAAGAGCAACUCUCAACACCCCUUGCUUUGGUGUCUCGUUUCUCUGAGAUCAGUGAACAUUCUGCGUUGGUUGCCCUGUUCAGUUUUGAAGGGAGUACCAAUUUUCACUUUUAAAAACAACCUUAUAGAAGAAGCAGAAUUGAGAAGAAAUUAAUUAAAAAAUACCUUAUGGAAGCAGCAAAAUCAUUGCUGUGGUUAAUCUUAUUGCAGGAAAAGAAUCUCAAGAUAAAACUGAUACUGUAAGUUACUGAUGUUUUGUCCAGAAUGUUCUAUUUUGGCUGAAGGAAAAUCUAGUUGUCUUUCCUGGUU